AGUGAACGCUGGCGGUAGGCCUAACACAUGCAAGUCGAACGGCAGCACAGUAAGAGCUUGCUCUUACGGGUGGCGAGUGGCGGACGGGUGAGGAAUACAUCGGAAUCUACUUUUUCGUGGGGGAUAACGUAGGGAAACUUACGCUAAUACCGCAUACGACCUACGGGUGAAAGCAGGGGAUCUUCGGACCUUGCGCGAUUGAAUGAGCCGAUGUCGGAUUAGCUAGUUGGCGGGGUAAAGGCCCACCAAGGCGACGAUCCGUAGCUGGUCUGAGAGGAGGAUCACCCACACUGGAACUGAGACACGGUCCAGACUCCUACGGGAGGCAGCAGUGGGGAAUAUUGGACAAUGGGCGCAAGCCUGAUCCAGCCAUACCGCGUGGGUGAAGAAGGCCUUCGGGUUGUAAAGCCCUUUUGUUGGGAAAGAAGAGCAGCAGGUUAAUACCCCGCUGUUCUGACGGUACCCAAAGAAUAAGCACCGGCUAACUUCGUG
rnacentral:rRNA from 1 species